rnacentral:rRNA from 1 species
UACGUAGGGUCCGAGCGUUGUCCGGAAUUAUUGGGCGUAAAGGGCUCGUAGGCGGUUUGUCGCGUCGGGAGUGAAAACACGGGGCUUAACCCCGUGCCUGCUUCCGAUACGGGCAGACUAGAGGUAUGCAGGGGAGAACGGAAUUCCUGGUGUAGCGGUGAAAUGCGCAGAUAUCAGGAGGAACACCGAUGGCGAAGGCAGGUCUCUGGGCAUUAACCGACGCUGAGGAGCGAAAGCAUGGGGAGCGAACAGG